rnacentral:rRNA from 1 species
GACGAACGCUGGCGGCGUGCCUAAUACAUGCAAGUAGAACGCUGAAGGAGGAGCUUGCUUCUCUGGAUGAGUUGCGAACGGGUGAGUAACGCGUAGGUAACCUGCCUGGUAGCGGGGGAUAACUAUUGGAAACGAUAGCUAAUACCGCAUAAGAGUAGAUGUUGCAUGACAUUUGCUUAAAAGGUGCAAUUGCAUCACUACCAGAUGGACCUGCGUUGUAUUAGCUAGUGGGUGGGGUAACGGCUCACCAAGGCGACGAUACAUAGCCGACCUGAGAGGGUGAUCGGCCACACUGGGACUGAGACACGGCCCAGACUCCUACGGGAGGCAGCAGUAGGGAAUCUUCGGCAAUGGACGGAAGUCUGACCGAGCAACGCCGCGUGAGUGAAGAAGGUUUUCGGAUCGUAAAGCUCGGUUGUAAGAGAAGAACGAGUGUGAGAGUGGAAAGUUCACACUGUGACGGUAUCUUACCAGAAAGGGACGGCUAACUACGUG